rnacentral:miRNA from 1 species
UGGGGGGGGGACGCAGCAGGCCG